GACGAACGCUGGCGGCGUGCUUAACACAUGCAAGUCGAACGGAAAGGCCCUGCUUUUGUGCUGUGCUCGAGUGGCGAACGGGGGAGUAACACGUGAGUAACCUGCCCUUGACUUUGGGAUAACUUCAGGAAACUGGGGCUAAUACCGGAUAGGAUCUCCUGCUGCAUAGUGGGGGAUGGAAAGUUUCGGCGGUUGGGGAUGGACUCGCGGCUUAUCAGCUUGUUGGUGGGGUAGUGGCUUACCAAGGCUUUGACGGGUAGCCGGCCUGAGAGGGUGACCGGCCACAUUGGGACUGAGAUACGGCCCAGACUCGUACGGGAGGCAGCAGUGGAGAAUAUUGCACAGUGGGCGGAAGCGUGAUGCAGCAACGCCGCGUGCGGGAUGACGGCCUUCGAGUUGUAAACCGAUUUCGCCUGUGACGAAGAGUGAGUGACGGUACUGGGUAAAGAAGCACCGGCUAACUACGUG
rnacentral:rRNA from 1 species